UACAGUAAGAAGAGUAUACCAUCGUGUAUACCUAAAUGUAGAUGAACUACUUUUUCACAACAUGUACACAGUGAUACUACAAGCCAACAAUUCAAAUUUUGUGGGUUUCAGAGGCUUCCUAAUUCAGGCAAGAAAUAUCAGGUUUCCUGACAAUGUUACCGGUAUUUUUAAUUCUUCAAAUACCAACGAGUAUGGUUUUCAAAAUUGCGAUUAAGCUCAGUACCCCCUAGGCAGUGCAGUUACCCAUGUGAAUGGGAGCAGUAAGAUGAACGUUACAUUUGAAUGGACAGCUCCCCCAAAAGGCUCGGGUCCAGUAUACUUUGUAUACACAGUGGUACAGUCAAUGCAAAUCUUUUGGGCUGAUUUGAGAACUCCUGAAAUAAAUGAACAUC